AAUAAGUGCAGUUUUGCACUAUUCACGUUCAACGUUUGACCGUUCGUCUUAUUUGAAAAUUUUUUAUGAUUAGUAUUUUUACUGCUAUUAGAUGAUAAAACAUAAAUAGUACUUUAUGUGUGGCUAAAUAUUUUUAAUUUUUUCACAAAUUUUUCAAAUAAGACGGACGGUCAAACGUUGGACACGGAUAUCCACAGCUCCACUUAUU
rfam:Oryza glumipatula chromosome 3, whole genome shotgun sequence.